GUGCUUACUUCCCGAGCACAUACUCUAAAACUGGAACAAUCCAGAGAAGGUUAGCUUGGCCCCUGCAGCAAGAUGCAUGCAAAUUCAUGAAGAGUUCCAUAUCCAC